UCGAUUUNGAGUUUGUUGCCCUGAGUGAUGGGCUCCGAAGCUAACGCGAUAAAUCGACCGCCUGGGGAGUACGGCCGCAAGGUUAAAACUCAAAUGAAUUGACGGGGGCCCGCACAAGCGGUGGAGCAUGUGGUUUAAUUCGAUGCAACGCGAAGAACCUUACCUGGUCUUGACAUCCACAGAAUCUUGCAGAGAUGCGAGAGUGCCUUCGGGAACUGUGAGACAGGUGCUGCAUGGCUGUCGUCAGCUCGUGUUGUGAAAUGUUGGGUUAAGUCCCGCAACGAGCGCAACCCUUAUCCUUUGUUGCCAGCGAUUCGGUCGGGAACUCAAAGGAGACUGCCGUUGAUAAAGCGGAGGAAGGUGGGGACGACGUCAAGUCAUCAUGGCCCUUACGACCAGGGCUACACACGUGCUACAAUGGCGUAUACAAAGGGAGGCGACCUCGCGAGAGCAAGCGGACCUCAUAAAGUACGUCUAAGUCCGGAUUGGAGUCUGCAACUCGACUCCAUGAAGUCGGAAUCGCUAGUAAUCGUGAAUCAGAAUGUCACGGUGAAUACGUUCCCGGGCCU
rnacentral:rRNA from 1 species